rnacentral:tRNA from 1 species
GGAGAAAUGUCUCAAAAGUUAAGAGAACUGGUUGCUUUUCCAGAGGACCUGGGUUCACUUCCCAGCAUCUACA